UUGAACAAUUGCAGAGCUGGAGUUAGCUCUCCAAAUGUGCUCAGUUUUAAAGGCUCUGAGCAGAGCUAUGCAUGAACCAAGAGGCACCCUGCCCUUUCUCCCCGCUCCCCACACCUAAAAUUCACGACAGAUGGUGAAGCAACUAAAGUUGAAAAUGGGGAAAAUCACUGCUUCAAUUUUUUAAGCCCUCUCAGCCAUUCUGUGAGCUAUCUGACAUCCUUCCAAUAAAUUCCUUUUCUGCUAAAAACUUCAGAGUUAGCAUCUGUUUGUGGAACCAAGAACCCUGACUGCAACACCAAGUUUAAUUCCAGCUCUUUAGAACUACACCCUCCAUUGUGUCCCUGUGCCCACGGGUGAUCCGGCUCUGAGGGCUGUGCAUCUCACAAAAAACUGAGUCGAUGAAAGAAUGAAACCUACAUGCAAGUUGGUCCAUUAGGAGUUCAACAAUCUCUUGGCCCAACUUCAGGAAAUAGGCGAAUUGCUUAAGAUGGUGAAAGUUUUUACUUACACACUAAAUAUUUACCUAAGCCAACUUAAGCAGGAUUUCCAACCAUGCUAGGUUGAAAGCUACUAAGCUUGCCCUUCCGGCUUGUAUCCUGCUUAAAAUGUGUGGCAUUAAAUUGGAGUUGGAUUUGGAUGUCCAUGGAGGUUGUUGGAUGGUGCUGGGUAAGUCAGCCCUGUUCUUUAACCCUGAGCUUCCUAAUUCGUGCCAGCUGCUGACAUCAGAAAACUUUACUACCAUUUGUUCAGUGUCUGGUUCUUUGUUCUUCAC